AAGAGUACAAUGAAUCCGUAGAGUCCUUCUGGUUCUUUUGGAGCAAUAGUCUGUAUUUUAGCUCUCCAUCUCAGCCACAGGUUGGACCAGAAGAGGGAUGCUGGAUCCUGAAGUAACAUCACGUCUAGGCAGUGAGACCUGCAGACAAGAAGAAAAAUGAUGUAGAAUCUGCAGGAAUUUGUGUAGUUUAGAAUGAAUAUUAUAAAUCAGUUAUUCCCACUGGUUUGCACUACAUCUGCCAAUUUCUCUAAAAAUUUAAGAGUAGGUGGGAGCCCCAUGGUGUACUUACUCCCAUGUCAUCCAAUUAUUGUACAUAUCAACAUAUAUGCUUUUGAAAAAUAAACACUCUUGUGCUCUUAAA